rnacentral:pre_miRNA from 1 species
AGUGCAAUUGCUGGGUCAUAUGGUUAAGUUCACGUUUAGUUUUAUGAGAAACUGCCAUAUUCUUUUCCAGACUAGCUACACCAUUUUACAUUUCCACCAGCAAU